rnacentral:rRNA from 1 species
CGGGGAAUAUUGGACAAUGGGCGCAAGCCUGAUCCAGCAAUGCCGCGUGUGUGAAGAAGGUUUUCGGAUUGUAAAGCACUUUCAGCGGGGACGAUGAUGACGGUACCCGCAGAAGAAGCCCCGGCUAACUUCGUGCCAGCAGCCGCGGUAAUACGAAGGGGGCAAGCGUUGCUCGGAAUGACUGGGCGUAAAGGGCGCGUAGGCGGUUGACACAGUCAGAUGUGAAAUUCCUGGGCUUAACCUGGGGGCUGCAUUUGAUACGUGGCGACUAGAGUGUGAGAGAGGGUUGUGGAAUUCCCAGUGUAGAGGUGAAAUUCGUAGAUAUUGGGAAGAACACCGGUGGCGAAGGCGGCAACCCUGGCUCAUGACUA